rnacentral:ncRNA from 1 species
ACAUUUGUCAAAAAUGUAGGUUUUGAUGUUUGACAGAACAAUAUCAAAUUAAAAGGGAAUUCGAUGAAAUACCGAAGCUGUUCCCGCAACUGUAAGCUAGAAAGCUUGUAAUAAUUCUUUUAAGUCACUGUUUUUUAAUGGGAAGACCAAUUACAAGACGCAAGCCAGGAGACCUGCCUAUAUUUUAAAUAAUUCA